rnacentral:lncRNA from 11 species
GGUUGGUGCUCAUCUCCAUUUCUGUUUUUUUUAAAAUAUUUUUUAUUGUUAUUAUUGAGAAAAAGUUACAAUUAUAUAAACAUAUUCUAUACAUUUCCCCCUCUUUUAUUUACAUUCACCCCUGUGCUCCCCUUCCCCAGAGCCAUCUCUUCUUCUGUAGUCCCACCAAAAGUUCAAUUCUUCAUUUGGAGGUAAAUUCCCAUCUUCUUUUUCCAAUAAUUUUUCUAGAAAUUUUCUCCAAAUACUUUCAAAAUCAUUUUUUUUCCAUAAUCCCUUCUUUACUUUUAAAUUUGAUGUUAGCUUGUCAUUCAGUGCCAUUUGCCAAACUUCUUUAUACCAUUCAUUAAUUUGUAUUUUCAUUUCUCCUUUCCAAUAUUUUGCAAUUAAUAAUCUAGCUGCUGUUAAUAGCAUGUCUAUUAAAUUUUUUCCCUCUUAUCUUUCUCAUCCUCUUUUUUUAAUUAAAAGUAAUAUUUCCACUGGAUUCCUUCUAAUUUUUAUAUUCAUAAUAUUUUCUAUUUCCCUUAUGACCAAUUCCCAAAAACCUUUUACAUGUUUACAAUCCCACCACAUAUGCAUGUAGGUUCCAAUUUCCUGGCACCCUCGCCAGCAUUUUUCAUUAUUAUUCUUAUUUAUAAUAUUUAACCUUCUUGGUGUUAAAUACCACUUCCAAAUUAGUUUGUAAUAAUUUUCUUUUAUUCUAAUUGACAUGUUUUUUAAUUGUCUUGUUUUCCAUAUCUCCUCCCAUUCUUUUUCCAUUAUCUUUGUUCCUAAUUCCUUCUCCCAUGAUUCUCUUAAUGUUAGUCUUUUCUUUUUUUCUAUGUCUUUAAUUAGUAUUUUAUAUAUUUUACUUGUUGUUCCUUUUACUGGCUCACUAUUUCCUCUUUUUAAUGCUUUUAUUAUUAAUUCCUCAAAUUGCGUUAUUUGUUUUCCAGUUUUAUUUCGGGCCCACCAGUUUUCAUUCCAUUUUUCUAAUUGAAUCCAAUGAAUCCAAGAAAUAUUUAUUCCUCUCAAUUCUUCUCUCAUUUUUACCUUUUCCAUUUUUUGUUCUAUCCAAUUUCCUACCCUUUUUAGUUCCCUUUUUUCUAAUUCUUUAUCUAGCGUUCCUUUUAGUUCCUUUGGGAAAUCUUUUUCCAUUCCAUCUGCUUUUUAAACUCCUCUUCCUCCUGCUUGGUAUAAUUAAAUAACAUUGCUUCUGAUUUAUUCCAAUUUAUCUUCAAUCCAGUUGCCCAUUCAAAUUCUGUUAAAUGUUUCUUAAUUAUUUCCAUUUUCUUCAUUAUCUCCUUAAUUGUUAUCAAUGUGUCGUCCGCAAAUAAGCUAAUUUUUCCUAACUUUGUUCCUAUGCCUUCUAAUUCCUUGUCUUUUCUUAUUACAUUAGCUAGUAAUUCCAUUACCAUUGCAAAUAGUAUAGGCGACAUAGGACAUCCUUGCCUUGUACCUCGUGUUACUUUUAUCUCUCCUGUGAUUCCAUCAUUUGGUAUUAUCUUUGUAUAAUUAUCUGAAUACAAUUGGAUCAUUAUAUUUUUGAACCUUUUUCCUAAUCCAAAUUUGUUCAUUAUUGUUUGAAUAGUUGGCCAUUCCACACUAUCAAAGGCUUUAAAUAUAUCCAGUGCUAGAAUCCCCGCUUUGUUUUUUUCCCCUUCUAUUGUUUGUAUUUUAUUUAUUACUCUUCCUAUCAGGUUGGACAUUUGUCUCCCUUUAACAAACCCACGUUGAUCUUGUUUUAUAUAUUUAUACAUAAAGUUGCUCAUUC